rnacentral:ncRNA from 1 species
GCUCAGUGAUAAAGGAGGUAGGGGUGCGGAGACAGCCAGGAGGUUUGCCUAGAAGCAGCCACCCUUGAAAGAGUGCGUAAUAGCUCACUGAUCGAGCGCUCAUUCAAAAGACUAAAGC